AGUCCACUCCCCUACCUACUUAACAUGCCUGGACAAAUUCAGACAUUUAAGACUGUUUGUUGGAGGACCUGUGGGUUGAACAAAUACAGCACAGAGAUACAUAGGACAUUUUCAAGGGGAAGAGCUACAGGAGUGAUAAUCAGGCAGAUCAAGGACAUACUUCUUCAUCAAAAACCAAUUGAAGUAUGCAAAGAAGCAGCCCCCUGCUGCCUUGGCGUGUACCUUGAAGAGAAGGAAGAGGACCUUUUCAAGGAGUUUGGAAUAAUAAAUGCAACAUCUCAAAAAAAGUUGAAUCCACACUGGGCACAGUGUCAACACACAAGGCAGAAACAUGCUCCCUGUGGGUUCAAAUUCUUAAGCAUAUUGCACUUAUGGCCACAUCCCAAUCAGUGAUAUCAUAGCAAUCGUCCAUUCAGUAUGGAUGGGUGUUGACAGCAAUGGCAAGGGAAAAGGUUCACUUAACCAGUUCACUUACAUAGGUUUUUUGUAUGAAUACUGCAAAAAGAUGAGAUAAAUACCCAGAGACAAACUGAACGUCAAUUAAAGUCAAAUGUAAUAAAAGAAAAAAAAAUUGCUCAAUUUGGGCAGGGUAGAUCACAACCCUGGUAUCAGCUUGCAAUGUAAUGAGCACUUUCGUUUUCUUAAGAAACUGAAAAUGUGUUUGUUAGUAUAUUGUUAAAGGGUGAUUUCUAGUUAAUCACAACUUGGGUUAGCUGAACCUCUUUUAGUUUGGAUAUAAAACAGAAACUGAGUGCACCUGAAAUCCUAGCUAUAAAACUAUGGUACAUAACUACGCUAAGUAUGGUAUAUCAAGGCUGAUAAUUAUUAAUAAUAAUUAAAACUAUAUUUUACUGUUUGCCUUAGUUUUCUCUUACAAAUAAGUUUUUUGAUUCACUUUGGUUUACUGAUGUUUGGUAAACUGCCAUCAUUGGUGACCAGGAUCUGGACAAUUUACAU